AUGGCUUUGUCCCCCCUUCUCUACCAAGGGAAAAUGGUUUGGAAUGCAGAAAUUUCAACAUCUACGCUCAUUUUUUGUCCUGUAUUUUUUAUUAAAAUCCUGCGCCACUGUUGCAGUGCCCUGGCCCAGCCCUGGUCCUACACAGUAGGAUGGGCUGGACCACGGGUCCCCCUUCCUGGUGUUCCCAAGGUGGGUGAUGGCAACUCCCAUCCCCCUCCCCGAACAGAAAAUAAAUUAGAAAGAAUUAAAAAAAAAAAAGCAAAACCAGGGGGAUUGGAGACAUGGAGACCUUGUCACUGCAGUCUGGGGACACGGGGACCCCUGUCACCUCUGGGGUGUCUGCUGGGAGACACAGGGACCCCCACCACCCUGCUGGGGGCUGUCCUGGUGACAUGGGGACCCUCACGGCUCUACAGGGAGCUGGUGCAGUGGCGACCCUGCCCCCCAGGGACGGUGACACCUCGAAGCCCCCCGGCUGCAGUUGGGGGAUGUCCCGGGAGGAGCUCAGGGCCGCCCCGGGGCCGUGGGCAGCAGCAGCGGCUUGGGGAGCGUGGGGGGCUUCAUGGACAGGGAGCGCUCCAGGGUGCCGGGCCGGGGUGCCCAGGGUGUCCCCCCCGGUGUCCCCAGCGAGUGCAUGCGGGUGAGGCCCCGCGGCGGCCCGGGGGGACUCACGGGGGUCCCCCCCAGCGAGUGGCUCUGUGCCAGCGGCCGCCGCGGGGCCGGGGGGCUAUCGGGGGGCACGUCCAGGCGCACCGGGGCUCGGUCGUGGGGGGCGAAGAGCGACCCGGGCCCCGCGGCGCGCGGCUGCACCCGGUUGGCGAAGGACCCGGUGCCCGGAGGGGUCACGGGCCACCCCGAGCCCCCCGAGCUCCCGUGCAGCCGCUGCAGCAGCUCCUCCAGAGACGCCUUGACCGGGGGUCCCGGCCCGGGGGGCUCCGGGCAGCCCACGGGGCCCAGCGGGACGGAGUGACCGCGCCGGAGCUCCCGCUCGCGGGGUGCCCGGGCCGGGGGCAGCGCGGGGGGCUCGGGGCACGGCGGCUCGGGGGCGUCCCGCAAGGCGCCGGCCCCGCCCUGGGGCGGCAGCGCGGGGUAGAGGCGGGGGACGGGCGGCUGGGCCGGGGUCCGCGGGGCGCAGGGCGGCUCCGAGGGGGUCUUGGGCACGGCGGGGCGCUGGCAGCAGAUGGCCACCAGCCCGGUGGCCAGGGCCCCCAGGACGAAGGCGCCCAGCACGCAGCCCACGAGCACCGGUACCGGCACCGUCGCUGCGGCCCCCGGCCCGGGGUGCCGCACCUCUGCGGGACCACUCGUCAGCCCAGAGGCAAUGGGAGGUCCGGUACCCCCCCGCCCAGAGCCCCCCCGGUCCCACUCACACUCCUGGGGUUCCCUCUCCCAGAGUCCUCCCGUCCCUGGGGUCCCACUCCCAUCCCUGGGGUCCUUCCUUGUCCCUAUGGUCCACCCUCAUCCCUCUCCUGUUCCUGGAGUCCCUCCUGGUCACUGGGGUCCCCCCACCCCAGGGUGUUUCUCCUUCCCUGGGGUCCCUCUCCUGUCCCUGGGGGUCUCAUGUUUGUCUCUGGAGUCCUCCCGACGCCUCAGUCCCUCCCCAGUCCGUGCAGUCCCCCCUCCCCACUCCCUGGGGUCUCUCCUGCUCCCUGGGAUCCCUCUCUCACCCCUGGGACACCCCUCCCUGGUCCCCGGGGUCCCUCCCCAGAGUACCCAGACAAUGUCACUGACCAUGGACCACAUCCCCAUCCUCGUCGCCAUCCCCUGCAGCCGUUGCCCCUGUGA
rnacentral:lncRNA from 1 species